UAACUAAGCAGAGGAAAAGAAACUAACCAGGAUUGACUUAGUAAGGGCGACUGAAGCGUCAAUAGUUCACCAUGUGAAUCUGCACUCUUGGGUGCCGAAUUGUGGUCUGGAGAUUCUUGCAUUCUAGGGCUGGGCCAAGUCCCUUGGAACGGGGCAGCUAAGAGGGUGAGACUCCCAUCUGUCUGGUUUUGGGAGCAAGGAUCAUGGAGUCGAGUUGUUUGGGAUUUCAGCUCCAAGAGGGUGGUAAAUUCCAUCGAAAGCUAAAUAUUGGUAGAAGACCGAUAGCAAACAAGUACCGUGAGGGAAAGAUGCAAAGAACUUUGAAAAGAGAGUUAAAGAGUACCUGAAAUUGCUGAAAAGGAAGCGAAGGAAACCAGUGAUAGUUGAGCCAUAUUUCCCUGUUCGCUUGCGGUUGGGGCGCUGUGGCCAGCAUAGUCCACAUUGAUUGGCUCAAAUGGAUGCACAUUGAGGAAAGCUGUCCUUGUUUGUUUGCACUUGAUUUGAUUGAUGGGUCUAAAUGUUUUCUUUUCCCC
rnacentral:rRNA from 1 species